rnacentral:rRNA from 1 species
CGCUGGCGGCGUGCUUAACACAUGCAAGUCGAACGAAGCGCUUGGAUGGAAUUCUUCGGAAGGAAGCUCAAGUGACUGAGUGGCGGACGGGUGAGUAACGCGUGGGUAACCUGCCUCAUACAGGGGGAUAACAAUUAGAAAUGACUGCUAAUACCGCAUAAGCACACGUGAUCGCAUGAUCUAGUGUGAAAAACUCCGGUGGUAUGAGAUGGACCCGCGUCUGAUUAGCUAGUUGGCGGGGUAAUGGCCCACCAAGGCGACUAUCAGUAGCCGGCCUGACAGGGUGAACGGCCACAUUGGAACUGACACACGGCCCAAACUCCUACGGGAGGCAUCAGUGGGGAAUAUUGCACAAUGGGGGAAACCCUGAUGCAACGACGCCGCGAGAAGGAUGAAGUAUUUCUGUAUGUAAACUUCUAUCAGCAAGGAAGAAAAUGACGGUACCUGACUAAAAAGCCCCGGCUAACUACGUGCCAGCAGCCGCGGUAAUACGUAGGGGGCAAGCAUUAUCCGGAUUUACUGAUUGUAAAGGGAGCGUAGACGGCAAUGCAAGUCUGAAGUGAAAGCCCGGGGCUCAGCCCCGGGACUGCUUUGGAAACUGUGCAGCUAGAGUGUCUGAGAGGCAAGCAGAAUUCCUAAUGUAGCGGUGAAAUGCGUAGAUAUUAGGAGGAACACCAGUGGCGAAGGCGGCUUGGUGGGCGAUGACUGACGUUGAGGCUCGAAAGCGAGGGGAGCAAACAGGAUUAGAUACCGUGGUAGUACACGCUGUAAUCGAUGACUAUUAGGUGUCGGGGAGCAAAGCUCUUCGGUGCCGCAGCCAACGCAAUAAGUAGUCCACGUGGGGAGUACGUUCGCAAGAAUGAAACUCAAAGGAAUCGACGGGGACCCGCACAAGCGGUGGAGCAUGUGGUUUAAUUUGAAGCAACGCGAAGAACCUUGCGUGCUCUUGACAUCCCUCUGACCGCUUUUUAAUGGGAGCUUUCCUUCGGGACAGAGGAGACAGGUGGUGCAUGGUUGUCGUCAGCUUGUGUCGUGAGAUGUUGGGUUAAUUCCCGCAACGAGCGCAACCCCUAUCUUCAGUAGCCAGCGGCAAGGCCGGGCACUCUGGAGAGAUCUGCCAGGGAUAACCUGGAGGAAGGUGGGGAUGACGUCAAAUCAUCAUGCUCAUUAUGAGCAGGGCUUCACACGUGCUACAAUGGCGUAAACAAAGGGAAGCAGAGUCGUGAGGCCGAGCAAAUCCCAAAAAUAACGUCUCAGUUUGGAUUGUAGUAUGCAACUCGACUACAUGAAGCUGGAAUCGCUAGUAAUCGAGAAUCAGAAUGUCGCGGAGAAUACGUUCCCGGGUUUUGUACACACCGCCCGUCACACCAUGGGAGUCAGUAACGCCGGAAGUCAGUGACCCAACCGUAAGGAGGGAGCUGCCGAAGGUGGGACCGAUAACUG